GCCAGGAAAGAGCCGCUGCUGAGCGCCCUUAAAGGAGUGGUGCUGCGGCUGCGGGAGGAUGGGGACCCCUGCACGGACACCUCGCCGCACCUCGUGUCCCUGUGCCAGCUGCUGGAGAGCAUCCUGCGCAAGGGGCUCCGACAACCCGCUUGGGGCUUCCGCAGACGGGAUUACUGGCAUUGGCUGGAGCAGCUUCCCGCGGAGACCAGCGGCCGGUGAGCGUCCCCGAGCUGGACCGGGGUGAAAAUCUGAGCUGUGGUGGCAUCUGUCGCGAUAUGC